AUUGAACGCUGGCGGCAUGCCUUACACAUGCAAGUCGUACGGCAGCACGGGUGCUUGCACCUGGUGGCGAGUGGCGAACGGGUGAGUAAUACAUCGGAACAUGUCCUGUAGUGGGGGAUAGCCCGGCGAAAGCCGGAUUAAUACCGCAUACGAUCUACGGAUGAAAGCGGGGGCCCUUCGGGCCUCGCGCUAUAGGGUUGGCCGAUGGCUGAUUAGCUAGUUGGUGGGGUAAAGGCCUACCAAGGCGACGAUCAGUAGCUGGUCUGAGAGGACGACCAGCCACACUGGGACUGAGACACGGCCCAGACUCCUACGGGAGGCAGCAGUGGGGAAUUUUGGACAAUGGGCGAAAGCCUGAUCCAGCAAUGCCGCGGGUGUGAAGAAGGCCUUCGGGUUGUAAAGCACGUUUGUCCGGAAAGAAAUCCUUGGCCCUAAUACGGUCGGGGGGAUGACGGUACCGGAAGAAUAAGCACCGGCUAACUACGUG
rnacentral:rRNA from 1 species